AAGAAAGGCACAGGUGCAGAGAAAGAAGGAAAGACAGAUUUCCAUCCUCUGGUUCCCUCCCCAAACGGGCGCAACAGCUGGGGCUGGGCCAGACCAGCGCCAAGGAGCUUCUUCCUGGUCUCCUUGUGCCAGCAGGGAACCAAGCACUUGGGGCAGCUUCCAUUGGCUUUCCCCGAGCGUUAGCAGAGAGCUGGACUGGAAGCAGAGAAACUGGGACUUGAACUGGGGCUCAUAUGGGAUACCUCUUUACCCCCUAGCCACCAUACUGGCCCUGCAGGCAAUUCUUAAAAUGGCCAACAAGCAUGUUCAAAGUGACAAAGAAUUUGACUUUGCAACUUGUGUUUCCUUUGUUUGGAAAGGCAAUACUGUCUGUGUUGAGAUUCAGCCCAGGUGAUCUCUUCCCUUGUGAAAACUUCAUUUUCCUCCCUAGCACAGUCAGCCUUGUUCAGUGCGUACUCUCCGUGUCUCUGCUGGGACUACUCCAGGAAGUCUUCUUGGAUUCUCUGAGGUUCUACCAUCCACCACCCUCCUCAGCUGUCAGUCCAAUGGGGUUAUCUGAUCUCAUAUAGUGAACUUCCAAAACUGCUGUUUUACUAGGACCACAAAAUGUUUCCACGCUCCAUGAUCUCAGUUUUGUGACCCAGAUAACACCCAAGUGAAGCAGCUUCGAAGAACUGAAAUGGCUGGAAGAGAGGAACAGAGAGAGAGGUGACACUGUCCAACUUCAAACCCAGCUCAGUGACUUCACCCAUAGCUUCUAGGGGGUGACACAUUUUUCUAGAAGGUUGGGAACCGAGCGUUUGGAGGAUUUCAAAGGUCAGUUCACGUGUGCGUUUUGGUAGAGGGUGGGCAACAUGUUUGAAAAAUUCUACAUACACUUGUUUGGGCCUGGCUGUCU